rnacentral:misc_RNA from 1 species
UCCGAGUUGACCCCGGCAGUCUCCUAUGAGUCCCCACCAUCCCGAAGGACGUGCUGGCAACAUAGAACGAGGGUUGCGCUCGUUGCGGGACUUAACCCAACAUCUCACGACACGAGCUGACGACAACCAUGCACCACCUGUAAACCGACCGCAAGCGGGGCACCUGUCUCCAGGCGUUUCCGGUUCAUGUCAAGCCUUGGUAAGGUUCUUCGCGUUGCAUCGAAUUAAAGAACAUGCUCCGCUGCUUGUGCGGGCCCCCGUCAAUUCCUUUGAGUUUUAGCCUUGCGGCCGUACUCCCCAGGCGGAACACUUAUCGCGUUGGCUUCGGCACAGACAGAUUCGACUCCGCCCACACCUAGUGUUCAUCGUUUACGGCUAGGACUAC